ACAUCCGUCAAAUCGGGUUGGUCUUAUCGCUUAUUUCUCCCCCAAAAAGAGUGUCUAACUCUACUAACAAAGUGGAAUGAUGUUGAAAUAUACGCUAAAAUUAGCAUAUAACUAAUAUUAGUGCAAAUAAACGCGGGAAAACACGAAUUAAAAAUAUGCCUUUCUGCUGACUCACGGAGACGGAGACGAGGCAAUUAGCGGCUGGCCAGCAGUCCAGACACUGCGGUUAGAUGUAUAGAUAUGGUUGGGGCGUUAAUCUAGACGAGGUGAAGAUUACGUUUAUAACACCCUGGCUUGAGAGAACAUACUGAAG